rnacentral:lncRNA from 1 species
AUGCUCCCUCUCCAGUGCUCCCUCCUUCUGCUGCUCCUUUCUUCCUUUUCUAGAGCCACUGUUCCCAGUAAGUCUGGUUGCUGUUCGAUGAGCCUUAAUUCUUAUAAUAACCCUGAAAACUCUGACAUUCUGUGCUUCCAACUGCAGCAUGUAAUUAAACUCCAAAGCAUCUGGCUUCCCGAGUUGAAAGAACAAGCCUGGAGGAAGGAAGAAGGAAGAGAAAGAUCCUUCUGGGUUGCCCAUGUGGCACCAGCCUGGCUGCCAGUUGUCACAACAGGGGAAUGUAGCAAGCUGCCAACCCCUAAUGACAGGGCUCGGGGGAGCCAUGGUUCCGUUUAGCUCGGAUGCUGUGGGCGUAUUUGAGAGGCGGAGAGGUGAGAGGUUGGAUCAGUGCUGUUUUAGGGUCAAGCAGAAGAACCAACAGCAUCCUGCAUGGAUCAGUUUCCCUUUCCCACUGUCCUGGGCACAGUGAUCCCUGCCACUUGCAGGUAUGUCUGACAACCUGGGGGGACAGUGACAGAGAGAGCUGAAUCGGAAAAGGUAAGUAGGGGGAUGCAGGCGAGAAGGGCAGGAAGGGCAGUCGCAGAGGGAACAGCAUCUGCUAUGGCUCAGAGGCCUGGAGGAGCCCAUGGCUGUAGUCGCAGGGACCCAGGGGUGGGCAGGCAGUGAGGAGGAGCAUCAGAAGAGAAAGCUCAAGAGUGGGUGGGCACCGGGACACUAGGGUCUUUAUCCAAGUCAGUGGGGAGGCAUUUACAUUCCCUUGGAUUUUUUCUAAAAAAACCUUCUUUUCAGUAUUUUUCAAAAAUUUGACAAUGACUACGUAUAGCUUUUGUAAGAAGAAAAAUAACACUUUUGAGAAAUGAUCACCCUUGCAACCAUGUGGAGGCCAGUUUGGAGGCUACUGCAAUUGGCCAGGCAAAAGGUAAUGAUGAGCAGUUCCACUCACAGGAUUACACCUAAAAGAAUCAAAAACUAGGACAGAUAGGUAUGCACGCGUGUUCAUAGCACGGUUCACAAUAGCCAAAAGGUGGAAACAUCCCAAAUGUCCAUCAACAGACGAAUGAACAAACAAAAUGCGGUGCAGCCGUACAAUAGGAUAUUAUUCACAAAAAGGAAGGAAGCACUGAGACGCUACAGCAUGGACGAGCCUCAAAACGUGAUGCGAAGUGCGAGAAGCCAGGUACAGAAGGUCCUGUGUUGUGGGAUUCCGUUUAUAUGGCAGACCCAGAAGAGGUAAAUCCACAGAGAGGGCAGCUAGUGGUUGCCAGGGGCUGUGGGGAGAGGGGAUGUGGGCAACCUCUUAAUGGGUACGAGAGAAAAGUCCCAGUGGUGAGAACUC